UGGGGAAUUUUGGACAAUGGGCGCAAGCCUGAUCCAGCCAUGCCGCGUGAGUGAAGAAGGCCUUCGGGUUGUAAAGCUCUUUCGGACGGGAAGAAAUGGCGGGCUCUAACAUAGCCUGUCGAUGACGGUACCGUAAGAAGAAGCACCGGCUAACUACGUGCCAGCAGCCGCGGUAAUACGUAGGGGGCAAGCGUUGUCCGGAUUUACUGGGUGUAAAGGGCGCGCAGGCGGGAUAAAAAGUCAGUGGUGAAAUCCUACAGCUUAACUGUAGAACUGCCUUUGAUACUUUUAUUCUUGAGUUCGGGAGAGAGAGACGGAAUUCCAGGUGUAGUGGUGAAAUACGUAGAUAUCUGGAAGAACACCAGUUGCGAAGGCGGUCUCUUGGUCCGACACUGACGCUGAGGCGCGAAAGCGUGGGGAGCAAACA
rnacentral:rRNA from 1 species